rnacentral:rRNA from 1 species
UACGGAGGGGGCUAGCGUUGUUCGGAAUUACUGGGCGUAAAGCGCACGUAGGCGGCUUUGUAAGUUAGAGGUGAAAGCCCAGGGCUCAACCCUGGAAUUGCCUUUAAGACUGCAUCGCUAGAAUUGUGGAGAGGUAAGUGGAAUUCCGAGUGUAGAGGUGAAAUUCGUAGAUAUUCGGAAGAACACCAGUGGCGAAGGCGACUUACUGGACACAUAUUGACGCUGAGGUGCGAAAGCGUGGGAGCAACAGG